GGGGGCGCUAGAGCAGCUAGGCUGAGGAAUUGCGGGAACAUGGCGGAUACUUGGUUGGGACCCUUGAUAAUCAAGGCAAAUCCUCGCCUGCUCCACUCUCCCAAUUUUCCCUUCUUCUUCUCUUCCUAUUCAAAACUCAAAUCCAUACCACUCUUCAUGGCUGCUUCCCUUCAAUGCCCUUGCUCCACUCCCAUCUCAACCCCAACGCCCAACGACCCUUCUCUUCUUGUCUUCUCAGGUGGAACUGCAUUUAAUGGAAUUGUGGAAGAGCUUAAGAAGUUAACCACUCGGGUUGCUCAUGUCUUGCCUUCUGACGAUGGAGGCAGUACUGCUGAGAUUGUUCGUGUGCUCGGUGUAUUUCAUAAACAAAAGGAUUCUUCUUUUUUGGGUCUUGAUCAGUAAUGGGAAAACAUUACUGGUUGCAGAAGAAGGUGGUAUAAGUAAAUUAAUGACUGAAGUUAUAUUUGGGUUAUAACUAUCUGAUGAAGUUUGCUUCUUAGCUUCCUGGAUGGAGGUUAAGCACGAGGUGCUAAAGCAAUUUGAGCUAAUCACUGCUGUGCCUAGUGAUUAAAUGCCCCUUCUGAGAUGCUUUAAUAUGCUAAGCUUAAGCGUGUCUUCCCAGCCUUUUUUUCCCCAGAAAAAUUUUGCACUUUCAUUUACUGUUUCUUCCCACUUUUAAGGAACUAUCUUGUUUAAUAUGAUGGAAGUUAACUGGCUGGAUAAAUUUUAGGUGGUCCUGCUGUUGGAGACUUUCGGUCAAGAUGUUUAAGAUUGU
rnacentral:misc_RNA from 1 species